rnacentral:rRNA from 1 species
GUCCAGACUCCUACGGGAGGCAGCAGUGGGGAAUAUUGCACAAUGGGGGAAACCCUGAUGCAGCGACGCCGCGUGAGCGAUGAAGUAUUUCGGUAUGUAAAGCUCUAUCAGCAGGGAAGAAGAUGACGGUACCUGACUAAGAAGCCCCGGCUAACUACGUGCCAGCAGCCGCGGUAAUACGUAGGGGGCAAGCGUUAUCCGGAUUCACUGGGUGUAAAGGGAGCGUAGACGGCGACGCAAGUCUGGAGUGAAAGCCCGGGGCCCAACCCCGGGACUGCUCUGGAAACUGCGUCGCUGGAGUACGGGAGGGGCAGGCGGAAUUCCUGGUGUAGCGGUGAAAUGCGUAGAUAUUAGGAGGAACACCAGUGGCGAAGGCGGCCUGCUGGACGACAACUGACGGUGAGGCGCGAAAGCGUGGGGAGCAAACAGGAUUAGAUACCCUCGUAU